GAGUGGAUAUUGGCACUGACAGUGAGCGACUGUAAACAUCCUCGACUGGAAGCUGUGAAGCAGCAGAUGGGGCUUUCAGUCGGAUGUUUGCAGCUGCCUACUGCCUUAGACUUCAAGAAAUGUU
rnacentral:precursor_RNA from 13 species